AAAAAAAAAAAUAACAAAAAAAAACUUCUUAGUUUGCCAGUUUUAGAAACAUCACAAAAAAUGGUCCAAGUUGUCCAGAAAAUUGGUCUGGAAAAACCUAUACACAGUGCUCAUCUUUCACAGAAGAUGCACGCGGGGGAGAGAUGGCAAAACGUGGGUUUCACUUGAAAAAGAUUCCGAAGAGGUAGCACCCCCAAAAAUCUGGAAUCCAGGCAGACGGAUGGGGCAGGUACCACACAGCCUUUACACCAGCCCUGUUUGCACUGCCUGUUACUGUUCAGUCAACACCGAAAGUCUCUCUGCUCUCACGGUGAAAGACAAGGGAGGCAGACGACCGCCAAAGGGAACGGAGGCCAGGCUGCACCCAGAGCAUUUUCAUAUUGAUUGUGGUAUUGAGGCAAGUGCCUGUCACUGGGCUUCUUCCUUCUUAUGUGCCCUUUGCCCCGACAUUGCUGUGCCUGCAGCAGUGGGCAGAGGCUCCCCGCCAGGAAAACCCUCUGCUGCGUGCCCCAGCAGGGGAGGAGUGACCGUGAGGAGGCUGAGGACAUACAGGAAGACACAGAGUUGUCUUGGAGAAGGACUGCGGGGUAAAACGGGGCAUGGGGAAAUGUCACAUCCAGCAAGAUUUCCAGCCGUAUAUUCAGUUUGUUUUCUCACGUACAAAACCGGCUUACUGACAUCUGCCAAAGAUGAAGGACCUGUUUUUUAGAAGGUGAGACUCAGCAAAGCUACCCCGCACGGCCUAGUGGGCAGCGAGCAGCGAGUGUCUCAACUGCAUGGCACCGGAGCACCCACACAUCUACUUCUUGGGCUGGCGGCACUGGGCCAAACUGGUCCCCACUGCCUGGUCCUUAAUUCUGGCCAGUCAGCAACAGAAAGCAACAACGUGCUGUGGGAGCGCCUCGAUGAGAAGGGAAGAAUCGGCCUCCACAGGAGCAGCGCCAGCCGAGACCGGGAGGCAGGAGGACGCGCGGUGGUACCAGGCCAGGACUGAAAAUGUUGUUUUCCCCACUUCCCUGAGUUCACAUCGUUGGCUGAAUGUCUGGAUCCUUAUGUCAAACGUGCACUUAGGUUCAUUUUCAGUCAUAGGUACCUCAGUUAUUGAUGAUUUGCAGAAGGAUGAAGUCUUUUAGGACACUUACUUCAAAAUGACGAGUUAAACUACCAAGCAGGAAACCUUGAGUUAAAUAAUUAAUUUGAAUCUUGUUUUCCCGUUUAUACAUUUUAGUUAUUUUCUUGAAGAAAGGUUAAUUCUCAGUUUGUAACCACCAAAGUAUGUUGCUUUGUAACUAAAUAUAGCUUUUACACUAAAUUUGGCACUUCUUAUUGCUAGCCAGAAGGACAGAGUAGCUCUACUGAUAUCUAUUUAAGCUCUUCUAUACCUCAUUAUACAUUUUUUCAGAUUUUUUUUUGUUUGUUAGAAAAUCAUGGAUGGCACAAUUCCUAUUUACUAGCUGAUCCCUUUGUGCUCAUGUAUGAUUUACGUUUGAAUGCAAACUGGAAUGCAACUUAAAAUGUAGAGACAUGGUUUAUCAGUUGCAUUGCACUGUUGUAAACAGGUUAGCCUUAAUGAGGAAAAAUAUAUAUUGUGGUUUGAUUUUUCAGUUGAGCUAUUAAAAUAACUCAGCAUUAGCUGGAAUUAGCACCAAUCUAGAAAUUGGUCAUAACAUCCUUCAAUACUGUAGUAUUACAAAAUCUAAUCCUCUCAUAAUUACCUUUUAUUCACAGAUUGGUAGAGAAGAACAAGCUUUUCUGCUUCUUUCAACUCCCAAUUGGUCAAGUUUGAAUGAAUUAAUCACUUAAUUGAGCUAAUUGAAUAUACUGAAGAAAAUAUUCUCUUGGUACUUGCCCAAGAGACAACGGAUCUCAAAAGCCACCUCAGUACUUCAAACAACUCGAGUAUCCAGAGUUUAGGCAGUGACCUUCAGCAGUUCAAUGGCCUGACUUGCAGCUUGGAAGCAAGAAUGUACUGUUUCCAUUUUGUUUAUUUUUUUAUGAUUUAAGCAGAUUACAGUAAGCUUAGGCCUUGCCACCAUUUUAAUAGAUACAGUUUUAAGAAGAAAAGAAUAAUUUUGAAAACUGUUUUUGUUAUUUAUUACUUGAUCGUUAAGUUUUACCCAUCUCAUUGACUCCGGGUUCAGCUCUCUGCUUAACAUUUAGUUCCAGAUUCUUAUUUUUUUUAGUGGAGAAAGGUGCCAGCAUCACCACUACCAGCAGUAGAAAGCAGCAAAAACUAAUCAGAAAUAUUUUAUAGAAAAGUGCCAGAAAAUACAUAUUUUUAUCAGUUGUGGAACUGGCAGAAAGUGGUCUGAAACAGCAACUGGCACUGUCUAAAGUUUUAAAAAUCUUUGACAUCCUUCUCUUCUGCCCUAACCUUCCUUCAUGGCUGUAGAGUGAAGACAUUCUGCAGCCUGCCCUCCCCAUGCUUUGCAACAGAUGCAUCAGGAAGGUGGUGAAUGUUUCAGCCUCUGAAGUCAAGGCCUCCAAACAUCUUUGAGACCUACAGUACCACAGAGGCCCAAACUGUUGCUAGCCAUCCCCAGAAGUUUGCAUUUGGCUUGAAACUAUUUAAUUUUGCCAUUAGUAUUCCCUAAUGAAUAAGUGAUUAAACCCCACAGCUGCCCCAAGAAAUGCAACCUAUACGGUAGCAUAUUUGUUUUCUGGUUUAUCUUGUUCAGAAACGUCAGUGCUGAGCUCCUGCAGGACGAUCACCUGCUAAUAGCAUGCGUGUUAGACACAAUACUGACCUUAAAGGCAAGUUGACUCAACUGAACUCUUUAUCAUUUCAGACAUACUCAAAGGGAAUCUUUCUUGCCUGUGUAAGUACAACAGUAACUUCAAUUUUGUUUUUGGAAUUCAAAAUCUGGAAAUGCCAAGUCACCUUCCCCACUCCUAGUAUGCCUUUUUGCAAGCACUUUUUGAUUUUUAGUAUGUGGAACAGGCUUUUUUAUCCAUUCCAAAUGUUUUAAAUCACUAAAUCUGGACAAGCUUUUCUCUGUUUUAAGAUUCCAUAUCAAAACGAGGAAAUUACGAAUUUCCACACCAUGUUUUGAUAUAUAAUUUUCGUUUCUUUCCAGCAGUCCUGUGAAUAUGGGUUAUCAUGAAGCAGGGCAGGAGCUCCAGGCUUGAGAACGUUCAGAUGGGAAGGAAGAAGCACUACGUAUGCUCCUAUGUAUUUGUCAGAAGAGACAGAUGCGAUCCAUUGCAACCAAACUUCUAGAGAGCUGAAGAGUUUAUGUGGACUCAGCCUUGCUGGCAAGAAAUAAACUUUUCCUCUGAAAAUGAGAUUCUUCUUCUGUCAGUAUGGAGAUGGGGGAAGAAGGCCAAUUCCAGUGGUAACUUUUCAGAGGAGAGCCACAGCCUUCACCUUGUGACAGGCACUGUUUAGUACCCCUAUGCUCCCAAGCAGAACUUGAUGUGCUACAGAAGUUACGAAAAUAAUUAGCGUAAACUGGUGAGCUGACAACAGAAAAGGCAAAUUCUCAUUGAUGCUGAAACAUGUUGAUGUACUUAAGGCAUGAAAAAAGUAAACAAACACAUAGUAGGAGAGGGGUUCUCAGAUUAAACGAGUACCACGGGUGAGAAAAUGCAGUUAACCAACAGCAAAAACAAAAGAGGAGGGGGAAAAAAAGCAAGAGCAGAGACCAACACGCUGCUGCAACACAGAGAAAGAGAUGCUAGGAGAUUUUUGCCAUCAGUCUGACUUUUGCAGAGCGGUGACUGGAACCACCAAAAUUUGGCUGACCAGCUUCCAAAUGGCGCAUGAAUAUACCUGCACAACAGCCCUGAUGGGAUGAUGGAUAUAAGAGUGAGUGAAAGAGCUUAAGGGAAAAAGAGUCCCGAAAGAGAUGAUUUUUGCCGAAGAAAAGGUUUGCUGAUCCAACAUCAUUAACUUUCAGAAAAAUGAAAAGAAAUAACUGCAGAAGUCUCUUGCAAAGACAAAACUGUACUCCUAGGAAAGGACCAGCUCUGGAGGGAAACACAGAAUUGCGCUGACCAGGCUAAACUAGACGCAGUUUCCUUACUUCAUCCUGAGAUAAUGUGUCCUGCAAGAGGCCACCACAGGAGCUUAUUCCUGUAGUGCUAGAAACACCAGAGCCACAAAACAUAACAAAACCUCUCAUCAUAAACGUCAUCGUGUAUUUUCACUAUUUAUGGGUAUGAUGAGAUGUAUCUACCGCAGCAGUAAGUCAAAGUACGGCACAGAAGGAACAAGCGGUUAUGGAAAACCAUGCCAUAUGACCUCUUCAGUACAAAACCUCCGGUGAAGCACUGGAAAAGCCCAGCAGCUUGGGUCCUGGAAAGAUCUGGUUGAUGAGGCUGGGAGCUCACUAUCCAACACUGAUAAAGUGUGAUGCCCUAUGUCUCUUCCUGUCAGUUAAGCUAGAGUAAAAUUUACUUCGUGUUUUGAAAUCUGUUGGAGGAGAGAGGAGCUCCAGGUCACCAGCCCAUAGUCUGGGCUCCCUGUUUCAUUCGAUUGUUGCAGGUAAGCAGCAACUGUGAUUUUUUACCAUUCAGCAGGUGUUUGCUGGUCACUGAAAUCACCAGAAAGGUCAAAAACCUCAAUGUGCUUACAAAUCAAACUGCCUUCUUAUACCCUUGAUUAUUACUCAUCCGGUUGAGAGUUGAGGCAGGGUUAUGUGGAAAAACACUGAAUUUCCAUUGUCGCUGUAGCAGCUGUGCCAUGAGCAGAAAACGUCAGCCUUUGGGGUGCCCAUCUGCAGCCUUUUACAAGCCCUAAAAACCUCACGUUGUACAUAAACUAAAAAAAAUGAAGAUGAAUUAUAUGUUUUACUUUGCCCAAUUCCUGUUUGAGCUACAUUCUACUUCUAAUACUACUUUAAAGCUGCUUAUAUGAGCUUAUUCCUCUUCUCACGGCAAAGCACACCUAGAAUGAUUAGAAUCUGAAUAAACCUUGUAAUGUUCCAUAAUUUCCCUAUUUAUCUGAAAUGAUUCGUUCCUCUAGCAAGGAGAAACGCCAACAUGUCAGAACCUUCCUGCCCAAGCAAAAUACGAUGGAUUGUAUCGCGUUAUAUCACAAACUUUGGUAUCUAGUGUCUUCCUUUCAGGAAAAAAAAUGCACAUCACCCUCCACCGUUAAAGGGAACACAUGGGUUCCAACUGGCUGCCAUUAAAUUUCACAUCUUGAAACCUGCAAGCAGACAUAUGGUAGAAGCUGAAUUACACGGUACUUCUGAACUUGCUGCGUGUAUUCCAGGAGGAUGGGCUGAAAAAACAGUCUCAACAGUUCAACUUUUAAACAAAAGAAAACUAACAAAAGACAAAAAGGGGGCGCCAUUGUGAGAAUGACUUUUUUGCCUGCUACAUUUCAUUUCCCCGUGUUUAACGACCUGUCUAUACUAAGAACACUGCGACCAGACGAGAAUAUAAGUGCAUCAUAUUAGUGAGAUAAAUCUCGGGACACAAACCAACACGAGCCUUUCCUUUAUGUUCUGGGCAAUAAAGCUGCUGCGGGGUGAGGAGGGAGCAAGCAGCAAAGUGAGGGGGUGAGAAGGGAACUGGCCAUUAACUUAUCAAUUCCAGGCCUUGGCUUUCUAAUUGACAACCUCAGGGCUACUUUCAUCACUUGUCGACUUCAAACCCACACUCAAUUUUUCCUUUAGAUAAUGAUGCAACUAUAGCAUAACGGUGUUUCUGACAUAUUGCAGCAUGUAGCGGGAGGAAGAUUUCCUCGGUAGCUUAGUUUAACACGAAAGGAAAAAAACCAAAAACAACUGUUAAAUGUUUUUCACAUCUAUCAACUUCUCAAAGAAUCGGUAAGACAGAUUUUAUACUUCCAGUAGCUGAAGUGAGCAUUUUGUAUUGGCUCAACCCAAAGUGCCUCAGAGCGCUUCAGUACGUUAUAGAUUCAACAACAAAUAAGCUGAUGCUUAAUACAAUAAACCCACAAAGUAUUUGUGUUUAAAGCCUGAAUAAAAAAGAACCCACAAAAACUAGAAAUAUGCUACGGAUCAGAGAGCUUAAAUUAAAAAUACCACAAAAACAAUACCACCGUCGAAACGCCACCUAGAAAUAUGUUUUUCUCAAAGAAAAUACAGAAGCAGCAGAGUUGCAGGAGUGCUGUUACAGGCACGUCCUUACAGACAGCUGGAGAACCCUGAUUCGAGUCCUCCUGCAGGAAUCAAAGUGGUCCGCUGAAGACAGCCAGUCCCUUUGUGAAGAGUAAGGUCCGAUCCUAAGUAGGUUUAUCAUAUUUUAAUGACAAAGAAAAAACAACAACUAAAUUUUGUCAAGUAACAGCAUGUCCACAGCCAACAAAGCACCUGGCUCUAACAUAAACAGUCACAUAACUGCCUUUUAAUAGUGGAUAUAAAGGUUUGAGUCCUGCAAUCAACUCUGCAAAGGCCCCGGGGUCAUACUAAACCCCGUGCAGUAUCUGGGGCCCCGAGCACGUCAAUAGAGGCAACAAAAGCAGCGUAAGAAAACAGAAUAAUACACACACACCUCCAAAUAUCGGCUGCUUCUCUGGAUCCUAAAAACUAGGUACAGAGGGGUGGCAGCUCGGACGCUAUGCCGUAUCGCCCCUUGCUGCUGAAAAUAACGCACGUGAACACGUAGAUGCUGAAUUUGUGCUGAUUAGCAAAACAAAGGUGCUGCCGGCAGCCGUGACGCGCAGUCAGCUCUUGUCUUCCCUUGGAAUUUAUGUUCUGAUUGUGCAAAUUGGCACCCACAUAAUUGCAGUCAAGGAACUUUAAUGAGGCUGUGAGUAGUUCAGCUUGCAUUGGCUGAAGGAGAAGAGUUCAGCCCCAGCAAUUUAGGGUUAUAGAUAUGGAUGGCUAGUUCCAUAGCAUACACUUGGGAAGUUUUCAGCUUGACCCUAACUGAGCGAACGACAAAACGAACCAACCAAAGUCCUCCGCCACCACAACCGACAUCCCCAGGCAUUAAUUGCUCUGCUUUUGUCACGCACACUUGAAGCAUACCAGGGGAGCACGCUGGGAAAGCAGCGCCUGUUGUGAGGACCAAGACUGGGCUUCACAGUUUCCUUGGGCUGCCGUGCUAGCGCCUUUUGGCGUUUCUAGAUCCAUACGACUGCGGCGUGUUCCUUAUCCUGCAGAAGGCAUUCAUUGCCUGUUGGGCACUGUAGCGAUUCAUUUCGUGCAGAUUUGAUGUGCUGGCGUUAUCAACCACUUUGGUGAAGACCUCCUUGCAUUCCAAGUGUUGGGCACGCUGCUGCUGCUGCUCCUCGGACGAUAAGGAGGUGAGAGCUCUUCCUACAAAGUGCCUGGCCCACAUCAUGGACGAAGUUGACCGCCCUACAAAGUUGCAAAAUAUUAUUGAAAAGUCAAGGGAAACGUAUUUUAUGGCCAAAUUAGCAGCUCAGCAAAUGGUUGGCUAUAAUGGGAAGGCCAAUAAGCCCAAGAGCUACGCACAACAACCGAUGGGGUUUUUACUACAAUCGUUCCCCAUUAUAUUUGGGGGCAAAAGACGUACGAACCCAAGAAGUACAAAAAUUCAGGCUAUUGUACCAACUCUUAGAGGCAGGUGUUUCUCAGUUUUUUAAAACCAAUACCAACCACCUUUGCAAUUUUGACACUACAGCCAGCAGUACGAACGGGUUACCUUUCAGAGUGUGGAGUAUAAGUUUUACAAGCCUGUUUUGCCUUCCUGCAGGCGCUUUGAGCUUAUAAAUGGCACCUUUCAGUGUCCUGAAUUAUGAAGGGCAGCUAGUCCUGAAUUCUCCUGUCGCUUAAUGAUCUCACAUAAAAUGAGGUCCACAAAACUUUUAUUACCACUGCAGUUCAAAUUCACAGGUGAAGAACCACCAGGGAAAGGAUGCGGACGUGUCUCUCGCUUUUGCUCCCCUAGUUUUCCAGGUGCAGGAAAGCUCCCCUCUCAGGCUUUAGCAAUCAGUUAACUCUCAAAGCGUAGCCUGAUCUAAAUAAAAAGCCUAAAGUCUGUUACCCCAAAAAGCACCGGAGGCUAUGAGGGGAAGACACUUGAGUGUGACACACGCUAGCAUCAAAUUUAGGUUAAAGACGUGAACGUGAAAACUAAUCUGCUCCUCCAAAAACUAUUUAAGCAUUUGCUUACGAUCUUUUGCUUGCCACAUAAUUUUAUUCACUUGUUGCCAUUUAGUGUAUUUGACACUCAAGAAUUGUAAUAAUAUUUAAUUAAAUCUUGAAUUGGUUCCUUCCCUGUUCUUGAAUUAACACCCGACGUUUGGAAAACAUGCUGGACCUCAGCAGUCAGACUGAAAAUUCGAAAGAAAGCCUUUCCAAAAAAAUAAAGGACUUUGUUUGCUACAAAUUACUUCUGCAUUUAUAUAAAGAUUUAACGAUUCAUGGCAUGCCAAAUUCAGUGCUAAUGAGUUUUGGGUUGUGUUUUUCAUUUUUGUUUGAAUUUUUUUUUCCUGCUAAAAACAAUUACUAGAGGCCAUUCAAAUGCCACUGCAUAAACCAGGAAACCUAGUAAAACUGUAGGUAAAAUUGGCAUUUUGUUUCAAGCGUGGCUCAGGAGUCCAAUUCGCUUGUUGGCGAGCUGCAUCUUACAAACAGCUCUUGCAUCUCCUCCAAAAAAGAAGCAGGGUAAGAUGCUUUUCAAAAAACACAUCCACAACACUCUUUAAUUAAAAGCAAAAAUUAAAGAGCAAAAGCUCACCAUUUAAUUCCAGCGUUCCAAGGAUGAAGGAUCUUAGCCUUUCUGCCUCCCUCUCCACUUUCCAGCGAAAAGUAGAUAAAUUAGCAGAAACGUAAGCUCUUCACUCUCAGUACCUCUUCAGAGAAUAGACGUGCCCAUGGGAGCUUAAAGACCUUCCUGGAGAGCGUUAUUAAUCUUGCUCCUAACAGUGUUAGUAUUUUUAAAGCCUAUUAAAACACUAUCUAGUCAUACCAGUGCAAACCUUGCUUUUUCGUGACCUGGUUUCAAGAAACAAAUAAAAAGUCAGUGGAAAUUAUACCCAAUUAUGUUUCAUCGGUCAGUAUACAGACCCCUGUCCACCUACGGUAGGAAAUUUAUGUCCAACACGGGCAUUCCCCACCAAAUGGUGCCAUCCACCACACGUUGGUGCUUUGGUCUAGUGGAAGUGCUGUCUUUAGCCGGCUUUGUUCAGCCCCUCUAUCUCUGCCCAUGGGCCGAAUCACCCUUUCAGAAACCUACAAAUAAUUCAAACCUGAUUUCGCACUGGGUGUACCAUUCCUGCGCGGCUGCGGAGGAACUGCUCCCUAUUGACACCACUGCAAGUAAAGUCACAAUCAAUCCCUUUGACUUCAGCCUUCCAAGUAACACAUGCACUACUCCAAAGGCUUUCCGAUGACUUUUUAAGUGAAAACAUCCAGGAUGUUGUGGGUUUGAACACAUCAGCAUAGCUACUUCCUAGCAGCUGAUAAGAGGAAAGUUAAUUAUUAUCGCCAGGAAAUAGAAAUCUUUCUGUGAUGAGCUAGUCUUGUUAUGCAUAUAUUCAGUAUUUCCCCUCCUUCUCCAAAUAGCAUUCACCAACUUAAAAAGAAAAAACAAAAAAAAAAACAAAAAAAAACACAAAACACAGAAAAACCACCCCCACCCAACAGACUGAGCAAAUGGGAGAUAUACACACUACCCAACCCUGCUCUCCAGUUCGCCCCCAAAAAUCCCGUUGACAAUUUCAAGAGCGGGGAAUGAAACCCCUUUAUUACCGAGCCCGCAGCAGAUAAAGCAGUAAUUGUAGUUAUACAGUAUUGGAAGUGUAGCUACAACAUAGCGUGACAGCUUGUUAGUGUUGAAAAUAUAUAAGCUCUUUGUAAUUGUGCCUUUGGAAUGCCAUCUGUCUUGAAUUAACAUCCACCUGGGAUCAUGUUUCGAUGACCAAUAUGGACAGAUUACUGGAACUUUAAAACCUCGCUUUCUUUGUAAUUGACAUUUAAACUGUUUGAAGUUUCUCAUUAAGUCCUUUUUUACAAAUUAGGUGCAGAUGUAUAAAGCUAAAUGUACAGUACUAAGGGAAAUUAGGUCACCUGAAAGCUCAAUAAUAAAAUGUAUCUAUUAACUGUUUAAAUGCAACGAGUACAUUAAAAUUUAGAGAUCAGCUUUAUGCUCCAAAUUCUUCAAAGUUUCAUCAUUUCCCUUUCAUCGCUGCAGAGCCUCUCAUGCCAACCAUUUUUAAUUAAAAUGGCAGAGAAGAAAGCAGGUUUGGCUGCUCAGCCCACGACAGCAGGUCAACCCGGGCCCGCAAAACGGGGAAGGCAAGGCCGGCAGCCUCAGCAGUGCCCGUUUCACGGGGACAGGUGAAUCCUAUUUAUGCCAAUGGCACCGGGAGAGUUGCAGGGCACAGGGAGAAGUGAGGGGCGAUUAGGCCAAAGGCCUGUUAGCCCUCUCUCCUAGCCAGAGGUCUCUCGGGAUAAAUCAGGACGCAGCCUACGUGAAAUGCACGGCUGCAGACCCUUUUGGCACCACAACUAGCGCGUCGUCUCCUGACGUUAUGCCAAGCGGCGUAACCGAGCUCGGCCCCGCUCCUAAGGGUGGAGAUGCGAGGGAAGACACUGUCUUCUUCUGAAGGCUGGUAAGCAAGAUGAAUAAGCUGUGAUCAGACCCUUUAUGUGUGCUUAGACUAACUUAUUUCCUCUCAAGCUUACUGUCUUCAUUAACGCUAGUUAUUACAACGAUUUUAAGAGCUUUACUUCUUGCAUCCCCUUAUGACCUUAUUCUGGGAAGCUACUAGAGCUCUUGCAAAGGAAGCGUGAACUUUCAGCUGGCCACGUUUCUGCUGCUUCCAAUAAGCAGCCAAGCAACUUUUCUGUGACGCCAGCUGUGUACCUGCGUGAGGUGGGCAAGCGUGUCAUGAACGGUGCCAGAACAAGACAGAUCCCAGGUCCCUCACGAACAGGGUCUUCCUCUGUGCUCAGCUGCACUUCUGUUCAAGGGGGAAUUCAGAGAGAAGCGAUGUGCGUUUUUUAAAAGAAAGAAAAAUGAAACCUGCCUGUUUGCAAGCAGACAGCAACAGCUGGAGAGAACAAACCGACCAACACGUUACAGCCAGGUGACGUUCUCCAGGAGGGGACAGCGCAACUCACUUGGAAAGGGGAACAAGACAGAGGAGUAACUCAUUUGCCACUCACACCUGAUGAGAGAGACAAAGAAGUGUACCUGUAACUAAUUCCGUUUUGCUCAGACACUUUAUGACUGAUGGCUUCCGUCUUGCUAACACAUCCCCAAAGGCGGGUAGAGGGCCAGGCAGGACCUCUGAGGACUGCACUAGCUUUACGCGGCCUAGUUGGGGUGCCAGUGGUGAUUAGCUGGAUACGCUUGGCUUUGCACCCUGCUUCUCAUUAGCAUUAAUUAGCCAGCAUCAUACCUCUGCUGCUGCCAGGAGGAGAACCGGCUCGGGCAGUAGUUUCACAGCCCUUAAUACUGAAUAAGGAAUUGCCAAGGUGCACACCGGGGCGUUUAUGUCAGCCCCACGUCUUCCUGCCAGCUGCGGAGGAGAGCAGAGACUGGCUCAGCGUAAACUCCGAGCAGCGCAGACACCUCUAGGUGCGACGUGUAUACCAUGCAUAGCCUCCCUAAGCCUUGAUGUGAGAGAGCUCCAUCGGGUCUGUCCUUAGAGAAGAGGAUCACACCACCAGGGACUCGAUUAGUGGUGUUAGAGGCAUCCCUCCCCUCCCUGAUGUGAGCCACGAUCAGGUUGUGCCUGGGCAGCAACAAGACAACACCGCUUUAGGUGAACCAAAGUGACCUUGUAGUAAAGCAGAUGCUGCAGAUGCUUCUGCCUGACAAAGUGUUUUUAUCACUAGAAAGUCAUGCUUUCAAAUAAAAUUCACCUCAAGGCCAUCAUCUUGAAAGAUACACUCAAAGACGUGUAGAACAUGAAGUGAUUUUUUUUUUUUUGGAUAAAGGUUCAGGAAAGAAAUCCCUCGCAGACUUAACGCUUUAUUGAUAUUCUUGGUUAUAGCUCUACACACGCACAGUGCGAUCAGCUGCCGGUGAGGACCCUGAUUCCUGUCUUUCCAUUUAAAUGUUGCAACAAAGAAUAAAAUUAUUUCACAAGUAACAAAGGGGAACCCUUUAAUUUAGUAGAACAAUUUCAGCUCCCAUUGCAUUAGCACCCUCCAGUGUCCAAUCCAUGAAAAGCAUCAUCACUACUAAUUUGCCAAGUAGUCACAAACUUGUCUUGCGAAACCCAGCAUGAAGCAGCAGUGGGCUCCUGGGAGGGAAGGUGAGAAGGAACUCCCCAUGCUGUAAAUACUUUUUAUUCCGAGGGUAGACAUUGUAGGUGACCAACGUACAAUCCCAGAA